rnacentral:lncRNA from 1 species
AGACAGGAGAAGGUUUGGUAGAAACCAGAGCCCUGGUCUCCCUCCAACUGCUCCUGAGCCUCCUGCUCCCCUGCCCCACUCCUCCUGCUGUUUUGCUGAUAGACUUUUUCACUGACCUAUAGCUGAACCUUCCACCAGCACUUGAAGACUUAGUUUUAACUGGAUCCUUUCCCAGGGUUCCUUCUUUUUCUUCCUCCUCCUUCUUCUCCAGCCCCCCACCGCCCUGCUCCUCCAGGCCCCCCACAGUCCCCCUUGCCUUCCCUCCCCUCCCAAUCCCUUUCCCUCCCCUCCCCCUCCCCAACUGCAGUCCCACCCCCAGUCCCCAUCCCCUUUCCUCCCUUAGCCCUAAACCACCCUCACCUCUGUCCUGGCCUCCUCAGGGGGCCCUGAGAAAACCAGGACAUGCGGGUCCAGUGGCUGCUGUUUUGGCUCCUCCUGCUUGGGUUUCCCAGCCAUCAAUCCACCCAUCUGGCACAGGAUUGACUCCUGGUGGAACCCAACUCAGUGAUCUGUGCAGUGUGGUGUUUUCCAAACUGGCCAAGGUGUCUGCAGGGCCCUCAGAAUUUUCCAAGCAAGAAAAGAUUUGGCUACUUGGAGAAACUUCAUCCUUCUGGAGGCAUCACCUCCAGAAUCUACUUGAAGUGGAUGACACUGACUUCCAUGAACUGUUUUCCUUUUGCUGAGGGUGAUGGCUUCCAACUCCAUCCAUGUCCCUGCAGAGGAGAUGAUCUCAUUCCUUUUUAUGGCUGUAUAGUAUUCCAUGGUUGUCUGUUCACUCUGAUGAUGGUUCCGUUUGCUGUGUGGAAGCUCUUAAGUUGGAUUAAAUUCCAGUCGUCAAUUUCU